rnacentral:rRNA from 1 species
GACGAACGCUGGCGGCGUGCUUAACACAUGCAAGUCGAACGGAAAGGCCCUGCUUUUGUGGGGUGCUCGAGUGGCGAACGGGUGAGUAACACGUGAGUAACCUGCCCUUGACUUUGGGAUAACUUCAGGAAACUGGGGCUAAUACCGGAUAGGAGCUCCUGCUGCAUGGUGGGGGUUGGAAAGUUUCGGCGGUUGGGGAUGGACUCGCGGCUUAUCAGCUUGUUGGUGGGGUAGUGGCUUACCAAGGCUUUGACGGGUAGCCGGCCUGGGAGGGUGACCGGCCACAUGGGGACUGAGAGACGGCCCAGACUCCUAAGGGAGGCAGCAGGGGGGAGUAUUGCACAAUGGGCGGAAGCCUGAUGCAGCAACGCCGCGUGCGGGAUGACGGCCUUCGGGUUGUAAACCGCUUUCGCCUGUGACGAAGCGUGAGUGACGGUAAUGGGUAAAGAAGCACCGGCUAACUACGUG